UCUCGAUUGGUCUAGUGGUAAGGAUACCUGCUUGUCAAUUGAUGAUCUAAAAUCAUCAAAAGCAAGUCGCAGGUGGCCGGGGUUCGAUUCCCCGAUCGAGAG
rnacentral:tRNA from 2 species